UUGAUGCCGCGUGAGUGAAGAAGGCCUUUGGGUUGUAAAGCUCUUUUGUAGGGGAAGAUAAUGACUGUACCCUAAGAAUAAGGUCCGGCUAACUUCGUGCCAGCAGCCGCGGUAAUACGAAGGGACCUAGCGUAGUUCGGAAUUACUGGGCGUAAAGCGCGCGUAGGCCGUUGAGUUAGUUAAUUGUGAAAUCCCAAAGCUUAACUUUGGAACUGCAAUUAAAACUGCUCGACUAGAGUUUGAUAGAGGAAAGCGGAAUACAUAGUGUAGAGGCGAAAUUCGUAGAUAUUAUGUAGAACACCAGUUGCGAAGGCGGCUUUCUGGGUCAACACUGACGCUGAGGCGCGAAAGUAUGGGUAGCAAAGAGGAUUAGAUACCCUCGUAGUCCAUACCAUAAACGAUGAUUGCUAGAUGUUGGAAAUUUAUUUUCAGUAUCGCAGCUAACGCAUUAAGCAAUCCGCCUGGGGAGUACGACCGCAAGGUUAAAACUCAAAUGAAUUGACGGGGACCCGCACAAGCGGUGGAGCAUGUGGUUUAAUUCGAAGAUACGCGCAGAANCUUACCAACCCUUGACAUGUCUGUCGCGAGUUUAGGAAACUAGACUUUUCGGUUCGGCCGGACAGAACACAGGUGCUGCAUGG
rnacentral:rRNA from 1 species